GACUCUACUGAAUUUUGCAGGUGAUCCAGAUCCGCAUUUGGGAUCAACAUUUCCCUUUAUAUAGGCUUUGAAGGAUUACUCAGGGAUGAAAAUCUCUGCUUUUUGGUGGAUUUCCCCUUUUUGCCAGUCGCCUGGGUCAUUUUUUUAGAUCAGUCCACAUCGGUUGUGUUGUAAAUUCCCCUUAGUUGUAUCUCUAUAAAUUAUGUUAUUUAGGCCAGGCAUCUAUUUGGGUAGCCCCAGUGCGCUGUUAGGUUCGGUUGUAUUAGCAGAGGACCAGAGUUAUUUUUGGCUCUGACAACGCUGCUUUUAAAGUGGAAUUCCUUUGUGAAGAGGAAACCAUUAAUUCGUCCAUUCAUCCAAACUAUUAAUUCAGACCAUUCAUUCAUUUACAGAUGUUUCAUUCCAACUCCUGUGCUCCCUGCAUGUUAAACUGAGCCUUUCAAGUUCAUUUGUUAGCAACAAAUUUGCAUAUAAAGUCUCUGAACUGUU